UGCUGCUUUGCUGACGAGUGGCGGACGGGUGAGUAAUGUCUGGGAAACUGCCUGAUGGAGGGGGAUAACUACUGGAAACGGUAGCUAAUACCGCAUAACGUCGCAAGACCAAAGAGGGGGACCUUCGGGCCUCUUGCCAUCGGAUGUGCCCAGAUGGGAUUAGCUAGUAGGUGGGGUAACGGCUCACCUAGGCGACGAUCCCUAGCUGGUCUGAGAGGAUGACCAGCCACACUGGAACUGAGACACGGUCCAGACUCCUACGGGAGGCAGCAGUGGGGAAUAUUGCACAAUGGGCGCAAGCCUGAUGCAGCCAUGCCGCGUGUAUGAAGAAGGCCUUCGGGUUGUAAAGUACUUUCAGCGGGGAGGAAGGCGUUGAGGUUAAUAACCUCAGCGAUUGACGUUACCCGCAGAAGAAGCACCGGCUAACUCCGUGCCAGCAGCCGCGGUAAUACGGAGGGUGCAAGCGUUAAUCGGAAUUACUGGGCGUAAAGCGCACGCAGGCGGUCUGUCAAGUCGGAUGUGAAAUCCCCGGGCUCAACCUGGGAACUGCAUUCGAAACUGGCAGGCUAGAGUCUUGUAGAGGGGGGUAGAAUUCCAGGUGUAGCGGUGAAAUGCGUAGAGAUCUGGAGGAAUACCGGUGGCGAAGGCGGCCCCCUGCACAAAGACUGACGCUCAGGUGCGAAAGCGUGGGAGCAAACAGGAUUAGAUACCCUGGUAGUCCACGCCGUAAACGAUGUCGACUUGGAGGUUGUGC
rnacentral:rRNA from 1 species